GGGUAGUUGUUCACUUAGUUUACAAAAACGAUAAGCACCACUUCUUCGCAAGUGUUGAAGCAAGCACUGAUUUGGAGGUUAUGACUGUUGAGAUCUCAUUGAGCAUGUUUGCUGGCUGUGAGAGUUGAAAUGUUGAAAUGUUGGCCUUGCUGCACCUUGUUGUUGGUUCCUCUGUUGUUAAGUGUGGGUUGGCUUGACCCCCCCAUGGAUGGUGUACACAGAAUAAUCUGAGGUGCACCAAGAGUUUGGCCACCAAGUGCCUGCAUGGCUAGAAACAGAAAAAAAAUCAUUUAAUUUCCUCCUAAUGGUAAAACUAGCUUGCGAUCUACACAAUUUAUGUAAAAGCUUAAUAUCAUUUUUGGUGUUUGGUUACUGCAUUUCCUUGAUUAAGUGCCCAUGCC